rnacentral:rRNA from 1 species
GAUGAACGCUGGCGGCGUGCCUAAUACAUGCAAGUCGAGCGAACGGACGAGAAGCUUGCUUCUCUGAUGUUAGCGGCGGACGGGUGAGUAACACGUGGAUAACCUACCUAUAAGACUGGGAUAACUUCGGGAAACCGGAGCUAAUACCGGAUAAUAUUUUGAACCGCAUGGUUCAAAAGUGAAAGACGGUCUUGCUGUCACUUAUAGAUGGAUCCGCGCUGCAUUAGCUAGUUGGUAAGGUAACGGCUUACCAAGGCAACGAUGCAUAGCCGACCUGAGAGGGUGAUCGGCCACACUGGAACUGAGACACGGUCCAGACUCCUACGGGAGGCAGCAGUAGGGAAUCUUCCGCAAUGGGCGAAAGCCUGACGGAGCAACGCCGCGUGAGUGAUGAAGGUCUUCGGAUCGUAAAACUCUGUUAGUAGGGAAGAACAUAUGUGUAAGUAACUGUGCACAUCUUGACGGUACCUAAUCAGAAAGCCACGGCUAACUACGUG